rnacentral:misc_RNA from 1 species
AGCCUCGGUUAUUGGGAGAGUUUGCUUUGUCGUGGUGUACAACACGACAUCGAUCGUGAAAUUUUGUGUCAUGGGUUCAACUGUGCGAAUUAUUGGCAACACCCUUAAAUUAUGCAUAUUUUGAUAAAAUGUGAUCAAAAUAAUUAUAUGUUAGUGAUUGAAAAAUAUUAUAAUAUUUUCAUAGUUCAAGAGAAAUGUGGAUAAAUCGUUAUUAUUUGAUCAAAAUGUUAUUCAAAUGAAUAAUUUGCAUGGUUGAAAGUAUUGAUUUUGGACGUUAUGAAUUUUGAAGAAUUUAAAGAUUUAAGCUUUUCUUUUUGUUAUGAUUGUCAAAGCAUGACUUGUAUUAAGUUUUAAAUUAUUAGUUUGUGCACCACUGAGUUCACCACUCAGCGAUAGCUUUGUAUGCUGUCGCAGGUAAGAAGAGCAUAGAGCAGUGAUUAAGUUGCUUUGAGGACACUUUCAGAUAAGCUCCAGGAAAGCUGCAGUG